GAUGAACGCUAGCGGCAGGCCUAACACAUGCAAGUCGAGGGGUAGAGGAAGCUUGCUUCCUUGAGACCGGCGCACGGGUGCGUAACGCGUAUGCAAUCUACCUUAUACAGAGGGAUAGCCCAGAGAAAUUUGGAUUAAUACCUCAUAGUAUUAUUGAAUGGCAUCAUUUAAUAAUUAAAGUUCCAACGGUAUAAGAUGAGCAUGCGUCCCAUUAGUUAGUUGGUAAGGUAACGGCUUACCAAGACAAUGAUGGGUAGGGGUCCUGAGAGGGAGAUCCCCCCCACUGGGACUGAGACACGGACCAGACUCCUACGGGAGGCAGCAGUGAGGAAUAUUGGUCAAUGGACGCAAGUCUGAACCAGCCAUGCCGCGUGCAGGAUGACGGUCCUAUGGAUUGUAAACUGCUUUUAUACAGGAAGAAACACUCGGACGUGUCCGAGCUUGACGGUACUGUAGGAAUAAGGAUCGGCUAACUCCAUGCCAGCCGCCGCCGUAAUAC
rnacentral:rRNA from 1 species